AUAUGAUCUUUGCAGCCUCAUACAGGGCUUCAUCAUACAACCGGUCACCAACAUUUGGUAGAUUGGCAACAUUUGGCAUGAGAAUAAACUCUUCAAUGUCACUCAAUCGAUCUAUUUUAGCAUAUGCAUAGAUUAGUUCACUGUCAACCUUGGGCUCCUUUGUCUUUUGCCUUACCAUCAGCAGAUACUUCACCAAGUCAUGGUAAACAUCAGCAUCCUCUGCAGCACGAAUGACAUCCAAAAAUUGGGUUGUAUCAUCUGCACGGAUAAAUGACUCAAUAGCAUCACUGACUAAUCCUUCCCUGAG
rnacentral:misc_RNA from 1 species